UACGGGGGGGCAAGCGUUGUUCGGAAUUACUGGGCGUAAAGGGCUCGUAGGCGGCCAACUAAGUCAGACGUGAAAUCCCUCGGCUUAACCGGGGAACUGCGUCUGAUACUGGAUGGCUAGAGAUUGGGAGAGGGAUGCGGAAUUCCAGGUGUAGCGGUGAAAUGCGUUGAUAUCAUCAGGAACACCAGAGGCGAAGGCGGCUCACUGGGUCUCUUCUGACGCUGAGGAACGAAAGCUAGGGGAGCAAACGGG
rnacentral:rRNA from 1 species